rnacentral:tRNA from 1 species
UUGACUGAAGCCAAACAGCGGCUAAUAAUUGUUAAUUAUUUAAUUGGGAACCCUGGUCGUU